GGGGAUACAGCUCAGUUGGUAGAGUGCUUGCCUCCCAUGCACAGGCCCUGGGUUCAAUCCCCAGCACCA
rnacentral:tRNA from 1 species